UUUCCUCAUAAUUUUACAAACAUGUACUGUAUAUAUGUAGCUGGAGAUGGUUGAUUGUGUGAAGUGCAUCGAGUAAAAAAAUAGCAAGUGACAUGUGAAUAAUUUUUAGAGAAAUGGGAUUACAAAAUAAAAGCACCAAUCCGACCCUUCUCCUUUCUCCUCUCCCUCUCCUCUUCUGAAGCCAUGUGGGAUGAAUUUUAGCAUAUGGCAUUUAUUUAGAAACUUUUCAGAGAUGAAAAACUUUAACAAAUUCAAUCUUACUCGGCAAAUAUCUUUUUCAAACUUGACAGAUUGUUUAUUCGUAUUUAAAAUGUUUAAUUCAGAAUGUUUACUACAUAUUGUCCAUAUCUUAUUUUGUGUUAUCUCAGAGUUUGGAUGAAAUUACUUUUUCUCAGUGAUGAAAACUGUUAAAAACAAUAUGUUGUCCAGAUUUUAGUGAACAAUGAGAUUUUCAUUUUCACAUUAAACAGACGUUUUCAUCUCUAAACCUAAAGCGAUUUAUGACAGGAGGCAAUAAUAUAAGUAUUAAAAUAGAUUACAACGUUUCAACUAUGUUAACCAAUAACUGUUGAGAGAAAGAGUAGGGUAAGAGAAGCGGAAUUAGCAUGUUAUUCAGGAAAAAUAUAUAGUUUUAAUAUAAUACUGAAUUCGAAAGAUCCUUAAUAAAGUACAGCACACCGAUACAGCACUAAAAAUGUACUCAAGUAAAGGUUAAAGUACACUAUUUUUAAACUGACUGCAUUUUCAUGGUGAACUAUUUUUGCUCGAUGAUGCAAUGGAACGUCUGAGCAUUGAGAGACGUAAAUGGGCGUUAUCUCAGCAUUGACAGAGGACUCAUCCCUAAUGUUUGAGAGCAGGGAGUACUGCUAAUUUUUUAAAGAUUUUGUUAACUCUUUUGUUAACUCCUCUAAGGUUAUUUUUUAACCUAUUAACUGGUUAAAUCUGGAAUCAAACAAAACAGCUUCACCUUUAUUGAAAAAACUGGCUUUUUUAACCAAGCUUAAAGCAAAUGUCACAAAAAAUAUUUUUAAGAAUUGCACCAUUAUGUACAACCCAUGAUCAUUGAUCUUACAUGACUGACAGUUUUGCAGACAUUGAAUGACAUUGCUCCAGAAGCAAACUGCUGUACUUUUCAGCUGACAUUUUUUGCCAUAUCAGUCUAUGCUGCAGAUGUAUUUCAAUCAUUCAUAAUUGUUGGUUUUGCGAAGCACUACUACACUUUCCAGGUAACAACAUGUUCUAGACCAGGGGUAUCCAAUGUCGGUCCAGCGAGUUUAGCUACAACUCGGCCCAACACACCUGUUUAGAAGUUUCUAGUCUGCUUUGUGAGACCUUGAUUAGCUGUUCAGGUGUGUUUAAUUAGGUUUGAAGCUAAACUUUGCAGGACACCCGCCCUCCAGGACUGACUUUAGACACCCCUGUUCUAGACAGAAUCACAUAUGGUCAAUGAGCCUGUGUAGUUUACAUGUUAUGUUAAAGAACUGAGUAUUUAAGGAGCUGUUUGUGAAGGUAGGUCAUAUUUAACUCUGGUUACCUAAAUUGUUACUAGUGCUUCCAUAUCUCUUUUAUUUGCUCACUACAUACCAAAGCACACCACAGAGGCAGGACUUUGAUUCCAGUAAAUGCAGACAAAACCUGAUGAACAAGAUCGUUUGUAUGCAUCAAGGAAAUACAUUUAAUUAACUCAAUACAAAGACACUUUUAUCAGAAGUGACUAACAAAUAAUAUAGCCCUAACAUUUUGUCAAUCAGCUAACAAAGAGGGCAGUUGACACACUGUUUACAUGUAGAACUAGAGAUAUGGAAAAUAGCUUCACAGAACAUAGUUUUUUUUAGAGUAAAUAUUACAGAGUUUUGGCAUGUCCACAACAUCAACGUUUAACGCCUCGUGACUAAACAAAUGGCGCAAAUGUGAGUGUGCACACCGACGCGCAAAACGGCAGGCGUAAAAGCGCAAUUAUUUUUUAAACGCCUCCGGCUUGUUCUUUUUGUUUGAUGUGCAGUGUAAAAAAACAGACUGACCAAUGACAAUGACGCUUUUGUUCACGUUUUUGGAGCUGAGUUACAGUGAAACACGAUUUGGUGGAACUCAUGCCCAAGCGAGUGAAGUAGGGUUUCAACGCAGUGUUCAUCUUACGUGUAGCGUGGGUAGAGAAGAGAAAUCCUCAAGACAAGAGAGUUGAAUCCAAUCGGUAACAGUUAAUGGAAUUACAUGCACAACAAACACAACCUAACCAAUACCAGACAAGGAACUGAGGAACACACAGGGCUUAAAUACACGGGGAAACGCAAUCAAGGGAAACAGAAUCAGGUCAGGGACUAAUUAACUAAUAAAGAUAUCAGACACAGAAGGCAACAACAAACCAAAACAUAGAACAACCGUGACAUUACCCCCCCUCCCAGAGGUGUGUCCUCGCGCCUAUACAGUACCAAUUGGGGAAGGGGGGUGGGCGUCCUGGAGGCUGGAGUAGGGAAAACAGGACAUGGUGAGAUGGGUGGCCUACAGGACGAUACACUCGGCUCGGGAGGUCCGGAAGGUGCCGGUAGCUCUGGAAGGGGACGGACACUCUGGAAGCUGGACGACCGGACUGGCCAUCGCACCCGUAUGGCCCCCUCAAAUAAAAGUUUGGGCUGAGUCCAGGUGCCUACAGAGAGGCUUGACGGGACUGGUUCGGGGACUGCCUGGGCAGGACCGGGCUCUGGCGGCUUGGCAGGGCUGGGCUCUAGCGGCUGGGCAGCACCGGGCUCUGGCGGCUGGGAGGCCUCUUGACGGCCGGACGGGACCGGCUGGAAGGCCUCUGGAUUUUAUAAAUUUGUGAUGAAUUAUUUUUACGAGUAUAAUGCACAGAUGUUGCCUGUUGCACAUGUGAGGUCAUUGAGUGGUCUGUGUGAACCUUUCUUAGCUGGCUGCUGCCUCACAUAAGUGCCAAGGUUCGGCCGAAGCAUGUUUUCCUUCUAAAAAAAACAUCAUCCUUGAGCUUCCCAUAAGUGUGCAAAUCUUGUCUUUCAGGCUUAUUGCUUAAAUGGUCAAAUACACAUAAUUAUGUCAAAAUGUCCAUCAGGUUUUUCUCAAACACAAUCGGGUAUGAAGUCAAUUGUAUUUUGGGACGUGUAUCCGCUUCAUCGCAACUCUUAAAGUGCCACAGCCUUUAAGGAACCACUGUCAUUCACACCAGCAGUUAUUAGGUCACUGACUGUUUGUGUUUACUUCAAAGGUUUUGAAGUAAAAAAUAUAUAUUAGGUUAAGCAUUUCCAAAUAUAUUAUUAAGCAUUUCUAUUCUUAUAAAUACUUUCAGUAUUUAAAAUUGUAGAAAAAAACAUUACAUAUACAGUUUUUACACAAUUUACAAACAAGGAAAAAUCCUAGAAUGAAAUCCUAAAAGGACUGACUGUUAAUUUUGUCAAGACCAUUGUUGUCAAUUAUUUAACGAUAGCAUACAAGUUUGCCGAAAUGAAACUGUUCUGGGCAAACUCUUUGUCGUCCAUGCAGCCUUGCAUGGACAUAGCAGGAGCACAGCAAUACAUGUCCCCCAAAACAAAAUUGCACCCUGCAACAAUCUGCAAAAGAUGGGUGAGCAAGUUGUUAAGUGCCAAAUGGGUUAAAUUAGCUGUUAGCUGUCCUGGGAAGCAUACACCCUGCAAAAAAGGACUAGUUGCAUGAGCGAUUGUUGACGAGACGAAUUGGUUAAACUAGCAGUAAGGCUGGCGGAAAAGCGUACACCUUGAACAAAUAGCAAUGGGGUUGUGUAGCAGUUUUUAGCAAAGCGAAAGGGUGAAACAAGCAGUAAAGCUGACAGGGAAGCGUACAGACAGCAAUAAAAUGCACAGGAGUUAUAGGAGCUAGUUGUAAGCAGACUGAACAUGUUAAACAAGCAGUUAGCUGUCAGGGGAAGCAUACACCCUGCGGCGAAUUUCACAAAUGUUACAUGAGCAAGUUGUUAUGAGCUGAAUGGUUUAAUCUAACAGUAAAGCUACAAGUGUAAAUGAGCUAAAAAGGUAAAACUAGCAGUAUUUGACUGGGAAGGCAUACACCCUGCAACGAUAGCACCAGAGUUAUGGGAGCAAGUUGUAAGAAAAACAAAAGGGUUAAACUAGAAGUAAAGCUGUCUGGGUAAGCAUACACCCAGCAACAAUAUGGCAGUAGAGUUACAUGAGCAAGUGUUAACGAGCUGAACGGGUUAAACUAGCAGUAGCUGGGUGGGGAAGCAUACACCCUGCAAUGAUAUAGCAGCAGAGUUACAUGAGCAAGUUGUUAAGGAGCCAAGUGGGUGAAACGAGCUGUACGCUGGCAGGGGAUACAUACACCCUAGUCCCACGUAGUCAGACAUACGGAAAAUUCUCAAGUGCACUAUAGGUACCCGGAUGAUGCACUCAUUCGACAAAAAUAUGAAGUGUGGAACUCUGGACUAUUCAAUCACUCAACAGUCGCAGUUCGCUUAUGUGGCAGAAGGGAGGCUUACACAGCUAGGUCUGGGAACCUUCGCCACUUCUUUAGCCGAGGCUCACCCGAGAGGCCAUAUGAACAACAGUGAGCGUACAGACUAUGAGGAGCGAGCGUUAACUGGAAAACACGGAGUGGAAUAUGUGGACCUUGGAGCGGUGUAAAAAGAAAAGGUUUUAGCGGGGAUGUGAAUCCUCUACAUACUACUCCACUUCGGCUAAUUUGAAGAAUCACAAACAUAUGUAAGUGGUAGGUAUGUUUACUAUAAAUGAUAGUAAUAGACAUUUUUAAAUUGUAAACAACUACUAGUUUACUCUAAUUUCAAGUACUUUUUAUUUGGAAUCCGAUUACACAAUCCAGAGUACAUGUAAUCCGUUACUACCCAGCUCUGCUGAUAACCAGCAUAGUAAACCGAGAAUAACGAUUGGCUUAACUUGCCUCAACAAUAUUUAGAAUUUAGACUUCGAUACCAAGUUCACCUGAUAGAUAUAAACCCAUUUAACAAAUAAUUUAUAUAAUAAAUUGUACAAUGAAAUUAAACAAAUAUUUAUUUAACAAAAUAAAUAAUGUUUUAUAAAUUAAUAUGAAUAUGAAUCAAAUAAAAAUAGUUAUCUUAUAAGUGUCAUGACGCUGGAAGACGCAGAGAAUUCGGAGACUCCAAUGCGUGUAUAAUCGCAGAGUUUUUAUUGAAGUACAGUCCAAAAGACCACCAGGCGACACUGGCCUCGAUCACAGGAACCACACGAGUCCGUGGGGAGAGGACUCGACUCAGGGGAAGAAUCAGUUGUAGAAUCCCAACAGGAAAUCCUGAUACUGACAGGGUGCACUCUGAGCAGGGAGGUGCCUCGACCCGCUGGCUGAUUCAGAACGACAGCGGUGGUCACUGGUGGAGAGAUGGUGGGGUGUGAUGAGAGGGAAGGUCUGAGACACCAGUGGGUGCUGAGGGGCACAGAGGAAAAUAACAGAGGGGGCGAAGGCACUUUAGCAAAUAGCAGAAGUUUAAUAAGGCUACGGCUAGUUAACUGUGACUUAGACAUAAACUUAACAGUACUAGAACACGCUAGACUGUGGCAGUCAGACAGAAGACGAGAGGACAAGAGGGGCUAAAUUGUGGGGAACUUAACAGCGGGAAUGAACUACAGGUGAACAAUCAUGAGGAACCAGGGGAAGCUACUGAUAGGGACGAGCUACAGGAGUGCAGGUGAUGGAAACCUGGUGAGGGGAAAGCCUGGCGGGGACAAACAGGGGUGGGCCAAGUGACUUAGGGCCAACAUAGCACCAUGGUAUAAUAACACCACUCGCGCCCUAAAAAGAGAAACGCGUAAACUGGAGCGAAAAUGGAAACAAACCCAAUUAGAGGUCUUUAAAAUUGCAUGGAAAGAGAGUGCAAGCUGUUACAAAAAGGCACUAAAAGCAGCAAAAGCCGAGCACUUCCGUAACCUCAUAGAAAAUAACAAAAACAAUCCAAGGUUUUUAUUUAGUACAAUUGCUAAAUUAACAAACAAACAGACUCCACCUGACCUCGGUAUUCCGCCGCACCUUGGUAGCAAUGAAUUCAUGAAAUUUUUUACCGAGAAAAUCAAAAUAAUACGAGACAACAUAGCUAAAACCAAACCUCCAAGUUUGUCGGAAGAAUUAGUUUCAACCGUCACCCAAAAAGAAAAGCUAGAGUGUUUUUCUCCUAUAAAUCAGGAAGAUUUAAUUAAAAUUAUUGCAACAUCCAAACCGACGACAUGCUUAUUAGACCCCAUUCCGACUACUUUAUUAAAAGAGUUACUACCUGCUGUAAUUGAGCCCAUUUUAACAUAAUCAACUCGUCUAUUAAUCUAGGACAUGUCCCAGGACCCUUUAAGCUGGCUGUAAUUAAGCCUCUUAUCAAAAAACCAAAUUUAGACCCAAAUGAACUUGGAAGCUAUAGACCGAUUUCAAAUCUCCCGUACUUGUCUAAAAUACUAGAAAAAGUAGUGUCAACUCAACUGUGUACCUUCCUACAAAAUAAUGACAUGCACGAAAAGUUUCAGUCUGGCUUUAGACCGCAUCACAGCACUGAAACUGCGCUCGUUAGAAUUACAAAUGACCUUCUUAUUGCUUCAGAUAAAGGUAACAUCUCACUAUUAGUCCUGCUUGACCUUAGUGCUGCUUUCGAUACUGUAGACCAUAAAAUACUACUAGAUCGUUUACACCAUUAUAUCGGUAUUCAGUUAUGGAUUACCUCAGGGAUCGGUUUUAGGACCCUUGCUUUUCUCCAUAUACAUGCUGCCCCUCGGCAACAUUAUUAGAAAACAUGGAAUUAGCUUCCACUGUUAUGCAGAUGAUACUCAGCUAUAUAUCUCAUCAAGACCAAAUGAUUCCUUUAAGCUAUCCAAACUGGCAGAGUGCAUCGAGGACAUAAAACAUUGGAUGACUAGUAAUUUCCUCCUUUUAAACUCUAGCAAAACCGAAAUAUUACUUAUAGCACCAAAAUCAAGUAAACAGAAUAUCUCCGAUUACAGCCUGCAAAUUGAAAGCUGCACUGUUACUCCAACAAAUACAGUUAAAGACCUAGGCGUUAUAUUAGACGGCAACCUGUCAUUUAAAAAUCACAUCUCAAAUAUCACAAAAACAGCCUUCUUCCACCUUAGAAAUGUUGCCAAAUUACGAAAUAGUUUAUGUGUUGCAGACGCAGAAAAGCUUAUUCAUGCAUUUGUGACCUCACGGCUUGACUAUUGUAUUGCUCUACUUAGUGGUUGUUCUGUAUCAUCGAUAAACAAACUACAGUUAGUUCAGAAUGCAGCUGCCAGAGUUCUUACUAGGUCAAAAAAAUACGAUCACAUAACCCCAGUUUUAUCAUCGCUUCACUGGCUACCCAUUAAGUAUCGUAUUGAUUUUUAAAUUCUUUUAAUUACUUACAAAGCCCUGAACGGUUUAGCACCUACUUACUUAACCGAGCUUUUAUCACGUUACAACCCAUCACGCUCGCUGAGAUCUCAAAACUUAGGACUUUUGACAAUACCUAGAAUAACAAAAUCCACCAAAGGUGGACGAGCUUUCUCAUACGUAGCACCUAAACUCUGGAAUAGCCUUCCUGAUACUAUUCGAUGGUCAGACACACUCUCCCAAUUUAAAUCUAGAUUAAAGACACAUCUUUUCAGCCAAGCUUUCACUUAAUGCAUAGUUAAUGAACAGCAGCUACGCUAAUUAUUCUCUUUAUUCUCUUUCCGCCUCUGCCUCGGGAUGCCCAUCCCGAGGUAGGAAGAAGUUCCACCAUGUCCAGGCGACCGACAGAUGCCCAUCCCCAAUUUGAGAUUACACCAGAUACAGCUGCAGACUGACUGACCAUCCCAGCUCCAUCUAAGGCAAUUCCACCAGCUGCCAAGAGAAAUAUGACCAUCGGACCAUCCCAGCUCAGACCACUACAUCCCCAACCAAGAGCAAAGACGGACUAUUUGUCUUAUUAUUGCUGAAGUUACAAUAUUUGGUAUUAAAUGCUAAACCUAAACCACACGUCAGCAGUCUGAGUGCAGCUAUGACACGUCAGAGGGGAUCUGGCCCUCCCGGUUGAGCCUGGUUUCUCCCGAGGUUUUUUUCUCCAUUAAUCAUUGGAGUUUGGGUUCCUCGCCACAGCAGGGCAGUGUUGGCCUGCUCACCGGGAGACUGCAUUCAUUCAUUUAUUUAUUUAUUUAGAAAUUAGAUGUUAUUUAUUAGAAUGAACUUACUCGUUGUAUAAAUACCAUGCACUGUGCUGUGUUUUAACUUUUCUGUUUUUCCUGUUUGCCCCUGUAAAGCUGCUUUGAAACAAUACACAUUGUGAAAAGCGCUAUAUAAAUAAACUUGAAUUGAAUUGAA